AUGGGUCAUCCAGUGACUAGCCAAAUCCAAACAGAAAGCAGAGGGCAAUACGUAAAACGGCAUCUUCUUCGGAUGGUCUCAGGAGCACAGUCAUCUCUAAAGAAGUAUUCCUCUCCAAAGAGCUGCAGGCCUUCAUCAGCCUUAUUAGGUUUCCCAAAGCUGAGUGUCAUGUUGAAGAGAGCAGCUUUCCAGGUAAAGAAGGACUGGCCAGGAACAGUGGCUUAUACCUGGAAUCCCAGCACUGUGGGAGGCCAAGGCGGGAGGAUAACUUUGGGGCAAGAAUUGGAGACCAACCUGGGCCACGUGGCAAGACCCCCAUCUCUACAAAAAAUAAAAAUUAUACUUUUGGAAUCUUCAGAAAGAAAAAUAAAUAAACUAAUUAAAUAA
rnacentral:lncRNA from 1 species